GAACCUAAUUGGAGAAGAACGUGUCCAAGUCACACCGGACAAGAAGACUGGAAAUCCGGGUGGAAGAGAGUGAGAGGGAGCCGAGUGCUGGAGAUGUGCACACUGACUCUCCCACAUCAGAAGCCUAAACGUUAACAGUCAGUACUCACGACAUGCCAGGCACAAUGCUAAGAUUCUAACCAUCACCUCAUCGGAUCAAAAACUCUAGGAAAUAUGUAUUUUCCCCAACGUAAAAGCAGAUGGUCUGAUAAGAGAUUCAGACACCAGUCCAAGAGGACUCAGUUGCUGAAUGGAGAAGAAUUAUGCCUGACAACCAAGCUCCCGGUCACUGCUCCCGGUCCAUCGUUCUGGCUGAGUGUCUAGGGAAGCCCCAACGUGGCACUCAGCAUAGUCUGAGUCAGCAUGAGGCCAAGCCAAAAAGCAGGAACUUAAUGGCCUCCUGGGGAGAAGGAAG